rnacentral:tRNA from 1 species
GGGGAUUUAGCUCAGUGGUAGAGCGCUUGCCUAGCAAGUACAAGUCCCUGGGUUCAGUCCCCA